GAUGAACGCUGGCGGCGUGCCUAACACAUGCAAGUCGAACGGACCUUGCUCAACAGAGGUACUUGUACCGAAGGAGAGCGCUGGUUAGUGGCGGACGGGUGAGUAACACGUGGGUAAUUAACCUUCCGGACCGGGAUAACAUCGGGAAACUGGUGCUAAUACCGGAUACGAUUCACGGGCGGCAUCGCCUGUGGAUGAAAAGAGGCCUCUCGAAGAAGCUCCUGCUGGAAGACAAGCCCGCGGCUGAUUAGCUAGUUGGUAAGGUAACGGCUUACCAAGGCAACGAUCAGUAGCCGGCCUGAGAGGGUGAACGGCCACACUGGGACUGAGACACGGCCCAGACUCCUACGGGAGGCAGCAGUGGGGAAUAUUGCGCAAUGGGGGGAACCCUGACGCAGCAACGCCGCGUGAAUGAAGAAGGCCUUCGGGUUGUAAACCGCUUUGUUCGGGAGAAAUACGUCCUCGCUAAUACCGGGGCGGAUGACGGUACCGGAAGAAGUAAGACACCGGCUAACUACGUGCCAGCAGCCGCGGUAA
rnacentral:rRNA from 1 species